UUCAAAAUACAUCCCAAUAAGACCAUUCGUUUACAGUUUCAAAUUACUACAUCCACAAAAUAUAUACCAAAAUGUCCAUAUAUACAUCUCAAAUUCACUUUUCAAUCCACAAAAUAAACCACAAUAAACCAAACUAUUCAUAAAAUUAAGCUACUACCUAAGCAUGUGCAAAAAAUCCUAGGUUCUCCCAAAAUACGACAGUAACUUUUGCUCUAGCACUAGCCAUGGAUGGCAGUAACUUUUGCUCUAACACUAAUAGAUUCUUGAGAGAAGGUUAACCUGCUUCUAUUGCUUCUGUUACACUGCUUCUGUUGCUUCUGCUACACUGCUUCUGUUGCUGCGACACACUUCUUGCUGCUAUUUGCAGCGAAGUGCUGCUGCCAAACAUUUAUAAACUGUUAUAACAUUUAUAAACUUUGUAAAUUGCAUUUAUAAAUUGUUCUUACCAAACAAAGAACCAUCGGGUCUCCAAAUUAGAGUCUAUUUUAACAAAUAUGCUACUAAUAACCCUUAAAUUAGUGUCAAGUUACUGCAAUAAAUUAGAGUCUAUUUUCAGAAAAGCCAGCAGAACAUCAGUGGACCUCUUUGAAGGAUCACUCAAGCUAGCACCAAAUUUCUUAUCAUACAAACUCAAGAAAUAGCUUCAUAGUUCUGCAACUACAGAUCCUUGUUUGCAACUACAGAUAAGACAUUAGUAAACUUCAUUAUAUAGGCAGGUAGUUCACAUAAACGAGUCAAACCUCUUCAAAUAUGGCUUGAAUAGUCGGUGUGUCUGAGGCUUUGAGUAGGUUCAGGUAUAUCCAAUUGACAUCAAAAACCCAAACCCCACAUCAAAAACAAUUAAACCCAAUUUCUAGCACUAUAUGAAGUAGAGUUCAUGCCUCAUACUCUUUUCCAUCAUUAUACAGGUCACCAUGUGAUAUCAACUUAGGUUCGGUCUGGUAUUUAAAGAAGGCAUCAUGGAGAACCUACAAAAUAGAAAAAGAAUAGUAACUGCCAAAUACAGUCAAAUAUGCUCAAAUACGCUCAAUUAAACCCAAUUUCUAGCACUAUAUGAAGUAGAGUUCAUACCUCGUAUUCUUGGACCACUAUGUUUUGAAAAUCAGACAUGAAUUAACAAAAUAGAAAAUGAGAAAUUAUUAUAAUGGCAUAAUAACAUCAUUAAAGGAAAGCUUGAAUAACUACGAAAUACCAUCUUGCUAACUUAAUCAAGAAUAUUGUGGAAAAAAUCGAUCAAAUGAAUACAUAGAAAGAAUAGGUUUCAUAAGUAAAACUCUCUAGAGAAUAAAUAUUAAGGUGAUAAAAUUUCUCUAUUUAAAAUCUUCUUUAAAUCAAUGUAUAUCCAUUAAUUNNN
rnacentral:lncRNA from 1 species